rnacentral:rRNA from 1 species
UAGGGAAUCUUCGGCAAUGGGGGCAACCCUGACCGAGCAACGCCGCGUGAGUGAAGAAGGUUUUCGGAUCGUAAAGCUCUGUUGUAAGAGAAGAACGUGUGUGAGAGUGGAAAGUUCACACAGUGACGGUAACUUACCAGAAAGGGACGGCUAACUACGUGCCAN